AUGAUCAUCUGUUAUGUUUAAACAAUGAGAUUUAAGCUAAUGAGUGAGCUGCGCUAUAUUUUAAGUUCGUGAGAUUUAAGCUAGUUACAGAUACCCGUAAGAGGACGGGAUUGAAGGAGCAAAUGAUCCCAUUUUCUGAAUUCGAGGACAAGCUGCAAGUCUCUUUCAAAGUUAAUUGUUUAGAAGCGCUUAUAGAUUUGGUUCUGAUUCAGUUGUCUGCUCUGGCUUAUGGAAUUGCAGCAUGCAUGUUAUGAUGAAAAAGGGUAUAGGAUUGUCUCAAUCGAUUGCCAGGAAUUUAGAAGAACAUUAUUGUUUGGUAGAAACUCUUUUCUUCACAGCUAUUAUCCACAGGA